rnacentral:misc_RNA from 1 species
GAUGAAGAACGCAGUGAAAUGCGAUAAGUAAUGUGAAUUGCAGAAUUCAGUGAAUCAUCGAAUCUUUGAACGCACCUUGCGCUCCUUGGUAUUCCGAGGAGCAUGCCUGUUUGAGUGUCAUUAAAUUCUCAACCUCACCAGUUUUGUAACGAGACAGGUGAAGGCUUGGAUGUGGGGGUUUUGCAGGCUGCCUCAGUGCUGGUCUGCUCUCCUGAAAUGCAUUAGCGAGCUCAUAUUGAGCUUCCGUCUAUUGGUGUGAUAAUUAUCUACGCCGUGGAUUGGACUCAUGCUUGCUUCUAACCGUCCGCAAGGACAAUUUACUUGACCAAUUUGACCUCAAAUCAGGUAGGACUACCCGCUGAACUUAAGCAUAUCAAUAAGCGGAGGA